rnacentral:lncRNA from 1 species
AUGAAAACGAGGGGAGGAGGGGAGAAGAAGGAACAGUGGGAAGGAGAAGGAAUGAGUGAACCUGCCGCCUCGCUCCGCGCAGGGCAGCCCCACGGCCCCCGCCCGCCCCCGGGGCACACCUCAUGCUGUAGGCGCCGGCUCCCAGCUCCUGCCCGAUGCCGGAGAGGCUGGCGUCGAAGUCGUGCACCAGCCCGGACUCGAUCACCUCAUCCAUCUUCAGCACCCACGCCAUCUUCCGCCGCCCCCCGCGCUCCCGCGGCGCCGCGGGAGGAGCCGGACGGGGAGGAGCCGCUCGGCCCCGGAGCCUCCGCCGGGAGGCGGCGUCUCGGCGGGCGGCGUGGGGCGGGAGGAAGCGAGAGGGGCCGGGGGCGGCGCGGAGCCGGGGUGGGACGGAGAAACGCGUGCGGGACGAGGGAGCGGCCGCGCUCAGCCCCGGGGGGGCCCUUCGCCCGCGGCGCGACCAGGGCGCGGGGCCGCCCUCAGCAUCCUGCGGCCGCCCGGCCGCCGAGGGGAGCUGGGGACCCGGCGGCCGCCGCCUCCUCCCCCUUCCCCUCCUUCCCUGACCGGACACCCCUCAGGGCCGCCGUCCGAGCUCCGACCCAGCUCAGCGGCGCCUCCCGCCGCAUCCUUCGCCUGGGCGGCAGCAGCUACAGCACGGGCACCCGCGGCCCGCUGCCGCCUCACGCCCGCCGCGCGGCGCCAAAGGCCGCCCCUGGGGGGCCCCCGCGCGCCGCUCCCGCCUGCCACCGCCCGUGCACCGCGCCGCCGCUCACGCCAACAUGGCGGCCUCCUCCGCACACCCCCCGCCCCGAGCUGCUGCUGCCGGGGCACAGCCCGCCCACUAUCGGGGCCGCCGAUUGGCUGGCCUACAGCGGAAGGGCCAAUCGGAGUGGAGCGGGGAGAGAUGAGGGGGCGGCGCAGCCAGUCAGCGGGCGCUUCCUCUACACCGGAAGGCGUCACGGAGGAGCAGCCCCGCCCUCGGGCCGGCGCGCAGUGCUGCGGCACGCUUCUUCGUCCGCCCUCGCGCCACGGGACCACUGCAUGCCGGGAGUGGCCUCCCGGAAGCGGAAAGGGAAGUGA